rnacentral:rRNA from 1 species
CCUACGGGAGGCUGCAGUGAGGAAUAUUGGUCAAUGGACGAGAGUCUGAACCAGCCAAGUAGCGUGAAGGAUGACUGCCCUAUGGGUUGUAAACUUCUUUUAUAUGGGAAUAAAAUGUUCCACGUGUGGGAUUUUGUAUGUACCAUAUGAAUAAGGAUCGGCUAACUCCGUGCCAGCAGCCGCGGUAAUACGGAGGAUCCGAGCGUUAUCCGGAUUUAUUGGGUUUAAAGGGAGCGUAGGUGGAUUGUUAAGUCAGUUGUGAAAGUUUGCGGCUCAACCGUAAAAUUGCAGUUGAAACUGGCAGUCUUGAGUACAGUAGAGGUGGGCGGAAUGCGUGGUGUAGCGGUGAAAUGCUUAGAUAUCACGAAGAACUCCGAUUGCGAAGGCAGUUCACUGGACUGCAACUGACACUGAGGCUCGAAAGUGUGGGUAUCAAACAGGAUUAGAGACCCCAGUAGUC